CGAGUGCGAGUCGGUCGCAUGGCUCCUUUAGAGUCCUUGCUUCUCAGACGUAUCCAGCCGUGCCCAUCCAGUGCACGGCACCGCGCUCAGAGCUGAGAAGCCGCUGUGAGAUCCUGUUUUUGUCCACUUCCGAGGUUCUGCUGGGCCCAUUACUGACCACGGUUGUGCCGUUGCCUCUCUCCGCCUCUUCCAACCUGGAAAGCUUUGCUUCUGCGUUCACAGGCGAGCCUUGACGCGGCCUCUGCCAGAGGAGCCAGAGCCUGUCUUCAACCAAGCCCAGUGCUGAGUGGAGCUGAAGCGAAAACGCGGGCUUUUCUUCGGAUUGAAACUGUAAAGAACAAUUCCAGCAUGAGAGUGUGGAAACGAGCCGGUUGGUGCGAUCCGGCCUUUAGACCCUGCAAGAUAGAGCAGGCGUAGAGUGCCACGGAGUCUGGUGCUUCUUGUACUGUAGGUCUCGAUAGAAAGCUCUUUCUGAGAAGUGGGUUAUCUCAUCCACGAAGAUGGUAUCCUGAAUCCACCCGCGGACUAAUGCAUCAAGUGUGAAGAUUUUGGGACCCAGCCGCAAAGCCAAUCAGUUGACAGGGAGUACGCUGAAGAACCUUGGGCGGGGUGGUUUCAAGCUUGCACGCGGCUUUAGAAAGACCGCUUUGUUUUCGUGCGAUGCCUGCGAUCUGAAGAAGUGCUAACCGCCAACCAAGGUAGGGCACGUGCACAGCAUGAGGAUGCUGAAGAUGCAGCCGGGCCAACCCUCUCUGCAUGCGUCCUGUGAGCCGUUCGAUUGCCAAACAGGCGCUACGUUGGUUCGGAGAGGGAUGCCACGGCAUUCUAUGCUGGUAGCAUGACGGCUUUUUUUCUGUCCCGGGACCCAGCCUAAACCACAUUUGCGACAACGGCUGGUGUUUUUCUUCGGGGCCCAGCCUAGGCUUGGAAUUCUGACGUUGGCCGUCUGGCUGGUGCUCUGGCCUCAACCUGCCAAGGGACCGAGUGUUUGGGCACUGCUCGGAUGUCAGGUGGGCGCUCAACGAGAACAUCGAUUUCAGCGACAUCACUUUCGGUGACGCCGAGUCGGCCCGCACUCCCAGCUUCACGUCGCGACGAGGGUUUACAUACACUUGCCUGUGCCUGCAUGCUGACAGAGGAACUGGUGACAAACAGUCGCACGUAUUUGAAGACACAAAAUCAGAAUCAUGCACUAGUUGGAAGGUGUUUGGUUGCUUCUUGGAGCAUAUGAAUGAACAAUCCUUCACAUGAACAACCCCAACAAUCCCAAUCCCAACCCCGCCCCAACCCCAACCUAAUUCAUUUCCCCUCUAUGCUUACCAACAUGACCUAACCUUACAAGAGCUGAAGGAAGGGUUAAAAAUGUGAAGAAAGGGGAAUGUGUGAGAUUAACUGAAAAAGACACUGUAGCGUAAGCGAGCGUGCUUUUUCUUUUAAUUUAACACAAGCCUCGAACGAAAUGAGAUGGGAACAAAGGGUCAAGAUAAUAAACAAAAAACAAGAGAAGCGAAGUGAAGCGCGUGUUUUCAUAAUUAAUUUAGCCCUUUGGAAUGAAGCGGAAACGAAGCCACAACUAAAUUAACGCUUUCAUUAGGAUUCCAUUGUAAUUUAGUUGUGUCUUUCGUUCCCUUCAUUCUCCGAUCCUGGCUGUUACUCCUAGAGACAGAGGUUGGGUGUGUUGUUAUUUAAUGAAGUGAAAAGUUAAAAGAGGAACGCAGUGAGUGACGCACGCUUUGCCUUCAUCAAACCAACCACACCGAACCCCAACCCCAACCCAAACCCAAGCCUCAACCCCAACCCCAACCCCCCUGUGCAGCGAACAACCAUCUCAGAACUGGAGCGGACAAGGGGAAUCCGACUGUUUAAUUGAAACAAAGCAUUGCGAUGGCCUCAGAAGGUGUUGGCGCAAUGUGAUUUCUGCCCAGUGCUCUGAAUGUCAAAGUGAUGAAAUUCAAACAAGUGCGGGUAAACGGCGGGAGUAACUACGACUCUCUUAAGGUAGCCAAAUGCCUCGUCAUCUACUUAGUGACGCGCAUGAAUGGAUUAACGAGAUUCCCACUGUCCCUACCUACUAUCUAGCGAAACCACAGCCAGCGGGGAAAGAAGACCCUGUUGAGCUUGACUCUAGUCCGACUUUGUGAAUGACUUAGGAGGUGUAGCAUAAGUGGGAGCUUCGGUGAUCUUGAAAUACCACUACUCUUCAUGUCAUUUUACUUAUUCCGUGAGACUGAAACUUGCAUCAUGUGAGUUUUUGAUUUAACGUUGCCUCUUUUUGGCAGCUGAUCUGUGCGGAAGACAUAGUCAGGUAGGGGAGUUUGGCUGGGGCGGCACAUCUGUUAAAUGAUAACGCAGGUGUGCUAAGGUAAGCUCAAUGAGAGCAGAAAUCUCAUGUGGGCCAAUAGGGGAAAAGCUUGCUUGAUUUGGAUUUUCAGUGCGAAUACAAACUGUGAAAACAUGGCCUAUCGAUCCUUUAGGUCUGAGAAAUAUUCAGCUAGAGGUGUCAGAAAAGUUACCACAGGGAUAACUGGAUUGUGGCAGCCAAGCGUUCAUAGCGACGUUGCUUUUUGAUCCUUCGAUGUCGGCUCUACCUAUCAUUGAGAUGCAGAAGUCCCAAAGUGUCGGAUUGUUCACCCGCCAAUGGGGAACGUGAGCUGGGUUUAGACCGUCGUGAGACGGGUUAGUUUUACCCUACUGAUGAACUAGAUGCUGCGACAGCAAUCGGAGUCAGUACGAGAGAAACACUUCGUUCAGAUACUUGGUUAAUGUGGCUAGCUGAAAAGCUAGUACCACGAAGCUAUCAUCUGUUGGAUUACGACUGAACGCCUCUAAGUCGGAAUCCAUGCUGGCUAAGCAGUGUUGCCCACCGCUCUUAUUGCAACAUGCCAACAAAUAAGCUUUGGCUCUAACACAUACCAGCCUCUAUCGCUGCCAAAGGCAAUGGGGUAAAUGAUAAUUUCAUGCAGCGGGAGCGAUAGAUCUUUUGUAGGCGACUUAAUCGAAUCCAGGUAUUGUAAGUGCUGAGAGUAUCCUUUGUGAUACGAUCCACUGAGAUUCAUCCUGUGUUUUUGGGUCUGUC
rnacentral:rRNA from 1 species